rnacentral:rRNA from 1 species
UAGGGAAUCUUGCGCAAUGGGCGAAAGCCUGACGCAGCGAUGCCGCGUGAGUGAGGAAGGCCUUCGGGUUGUAAAGCUCUGUUCUGUGGGAAAAAUGGCGUAUGAAUUAAUACCUUAUACGAUUGAUGGUACCAUAGGAGAAAGCACCGGCUAACUUCGUGCCAGCAGCCGCGGUAAUACGAAGGGUGCAAGCGUUGUUCGGAUUUAUUGGGCGUAAAGGGUGAGUAGGCGGAUAGGAAAGUCAGGUGUGAAAUCUCGGGGCUCAACCCCGAAACUGCGCCUGAAACUAUCUAUCUAGAAUCUCGGAGAGGGAAGGGGAAUUUCGCAUGUAGGAGUAAAAUCCGUAGAGAUGCGAAGGAACACCGGAGGCGAAGGCGCCUUCCUGGAAGAGUAUUGACGCUGAGGCACGAAAGCGUGGGGAGCAAACAGG